GACGAACGCUGGCGGCGUGCUUAACACAUGCAAGUCGAACGGAAAGGCCCUGCUUUUGUGGGGUGCUCGAGUGGCGAACGGGUGAGUAACACGUGAGUAACCUGCCCUUGACUUUGGGAUAACUUCAGGAAACUGGGGCUAAUACCGGAUAGGAGCUCCUGCUGCAUGGUGGGGGUUGGAAAGUUUCGGCGGUUGGGGAUGGACUCGCGGCUUAUCAGCUUGUUGGUGGGGUAGUGGCUGACCAAGGCUUUGACGGGUAGCCGGCCUGAGAGGGUGACCGGCCACAUUGGGACUGAGAUGCGGCCCAGACUCCUACGGGAGGCAGCAGGGGGGAAUAUUGCACAAGGGGCGGAAGCCUGAUGCAGCAACGCCGCGUGCGGGAUGACGGCCUUCGGGUUGUAAACCGCUUUCGCCUGUGACGAAGCGUGAGUGACGGUAAUGGGUAAAGAAGCACCGGCUAACUACGUG
rnacentral:rRNA from 1 species